GAAGAUGCGCCUUGUCGUCCUCUCCAUCUCCAUCCAAGGAAUCGACCCGGAACCUCUCCAACCGUCGCCAUGAUCGCCGAUUCCUUCUCCGGUCGCCGACGUUCUUCUUCAAAUUCCGGCCACUCCGGUGAGCCCCUGGACUCCGUACCGCCACCAUCAUGUUCUUCGCAUCCAGGCGCAUCUUCGACACCAACUGUCUCGUCCCGGUUCGCUCCCCGUCGCCGGAUCCAUGAACGACCAGAGCUCCUCUCCGCCAUGGUCUACAUCCUCGAGCUCCGCGUGAGUUUGCUUCAUCUUGCCGGGCGCUCAUCUUAGGACACCAUCGAACCAUCAGCCCAAUGACCUCGCGGCCAGAGAUACUUCAUUUUGCCUGGAGCCUUACCAAAACGUAGCAACAUCAAGCAGCCUAGCUGAUCUGCUAGAUCUUAUGCUGAAUGGGCCUCAGCCCAGAUCUUCUCUGCAGCCCGUUGCCCCGCGCGCCCAGGAACAAUCCGUCGCCGACGCAGGCCUAGUUCUGGCCCAUGUCACGACAGGUCCAUCCCAGACCAUCCCCUGCAUGUUUUCUUUUCCUUUUGCAAAACUUGUAAAAUUAAUAU